GACGAACGCUGGCGGCGCGCUUAACACAUGCAAGUCGAACGGAAAGGCCUGCUUUCCCUUGUGGAUUGCGGGUACUCGAGUGGCGAACGGGUGAGUAACACGUGAGUGAUCUGCCCCCAACUUGGUUAUAAGCCUGGGAAACUGGGUCUAAUUCCCGAUAGGACUGCAGGGUGGUGCCUGUGGUGGAAAACGAUUUUCUAGUGGUUGGGGAUGAGCUCGCGGCCUAUCAGCUUGUUGGUGGGGUAAUGGCCUACCAAGGCGGCUACGGGUAGCCGGCCUGAGAGGGUGGACAGCCACAUUGGGACUGGGAUACGGCCCAGACUCCUACGGGAGGCAGCAGUGGGGAAUAUUGCACAAUGGGCGGAAGCCUGAUGCAGCGACGCCGCGUGGGGGAUGUCGGCCUUCGGGUUGUAAACUCCUUUCGACCGCGAGGAAGCCACCUGGUUGGAAGGGUGGUGACGGUAGUGGUAGAAGAAGCACCGGCUAACUACGUG
rnacentral:rRNA from 1 species